AAUCAGGGAGGUGACAUCCAGGCGUCUUGACGCCAUAGUCGUCUGUCCUACAGUUCUGCGCGUGCGCCAGGUCCUAGGAGACGGCGCGGCUGCCGCGAGGCUCCCAAGCCAAUCAGAAUCCACCGCUUUCCACCUUCACUCACCAUGUGGGGCUGGAGGGCAGCGACGCUGGACACCUAGGAAGCUGGCCACCACCACACGGUGAGUGUGUGGGCCCGGGUGUCCAGAGAGGGGAAAGCGGAGCCCCUGGAGCUGCUGAAAGGCCAGGAAGACGCGGGCCUCCCAGAGGUCAUCUCUGGGAUCUGCGGGCGCCAUACUGCCGCAGGUUCUUGAAAAUUUACUGAUGGAACACUGAAAGCAAAUCGGGGACAGUUUUCUGGAUGUAAAGGGGCCGAUUUAGGGAGAGUCAAUGGACGAUACCGCGGCGGCAGUUCGUCCUCUAAGGACAAAUUUGCUAGCCUAGUCAAACUGAGAUAUAAAUGAGAUGGCCCCCUCGAGCGCAGGGGCACACUCGAUGGGGGAUGGUCCUUCACUGAAUUUUCCUCUGUCUCAACCGGUGGCUGGUCCCUACAGGGACCUUUGUCCGUCUGUUUCCUGUCCCACUGACUACCACAGUCACUAGACUGACUAUCAUGCCGAGACUCCUCCUGAACCUUCUCUAGGAGCUCGCAUGCUUCAUCAAGUAAAAGCCCUAUGCUCUCAGUGGGGUCCUGAAGUGUCUGGUCAAUGAGUUGCCAUAAUCUAAGUAUUUCUGCCGGCUCUCCGGCUGCUCUCAACUGUCUCCCUACUCUCCGCCACUGUUGCUCAUCUAAUUGGCCACCUUCCACAAACCAUGGUGACGUCUUGGCAACAGCCCUAGUGAAUGCACAUAC